UAGUAAAAGUAUAAAAAAAAAAUAAUUUUGUUUUGUGCGGUUUUCGGAAAUAAAAGCUAAAAGUAAUUCGAACAAAAUGCGUCCAUCACCGAUUAACUACAGCAAUUCUUCGCGCAUUGAGCGUCAGCGCAUGCGUACCAUAUUGAGGGGACUCAGGCUGUCGAAGAGAGUUCGACGCGCCUUGCGGAACUUCUUGAAGGAGCUGGUAACGCUUCAGAUUGUCAUCAGCGAUUUUCAGAUGUUAUCUAACCAAUUGAGUGCACAGACCGACUAGCUCUAAUUUUAUCACGAAAUAUACACAUUUACACUGAAAAAAAAAACAUAAUUCAGACAGGCUUUUCAGUGUUCACAUAAAAAUUGCAUACAGAAAGAAAUAUCGACAAUUUUCAGAUGUCAGCUGACUAAUUAAAUAUAACGAAAAUACUAUAACGAAAUACGCACUUUUGCAAUAAUUUACACAGAACAAAAAACUCUUCACAUAGUUCAGACAGUUUUUUCCGUAACCACUUUAAAAUUGCUAAAUUAACUAUUUUCAAGCAUCUCUGGCGAAAAAAACUUAAGUACAGAAAAACAGAUCGACAAUUUUUUAGAGGAUUAGAUUAGUUAGUGGAGAGACCAUUCAACAUAUUUUAAAGCUGAUGCUCUGAGAAGUAUCAAGAGCAAAUUUUAUGCUUUGACUUCACUGCGAGCUGCUCAUACAAACGACAAUUCGCACAACAAAUUAUCAACAUAGUAACUAUUGGGUAUAUGUCAUAAAAAUAUCGAUAACAAUUUUGAUGCAACAUGCAAACUUAUUGAUAUUUUCCUUCGCAUCCAAGUGGGCUCUGAAAAAAUUCCUAUAUCCCAGCGCAGAGAAUAAAAAAUAUUCAGUCUGAAUCGACUACUCGUCUAGAGCACAUUGUGAGCUUGUGAAAUAAAAGGAAAAAAUAAUAAGUAAAAAUAUAAAAAUAAAAAAAAAAAAAAUAAUUUUUUUUCGUGCGGUUUUCGGAAAUAAAAGCUAAAAGUAAUUCGAACAAAAUGCGUCCAUCACCGUUUAACUACAACAAUUCUUCGCGCAUGGAGCGUUCGCGUGGCACGUUCGGGGGAGUCAGGCUGUCGAAGAAGGCUCGUCGCGCUUUGCAGAACUUCUUGAAGGAGCUGGUAGCGCUUCAGAUUGUCAUCGACAAUUUUCAGAUGUUAUCUAACCACUUGGAGGAGGAGAGCGCCGAUUAGUUCUUAUUCUAUAAAGAAAUACACGCUUUUGCUACAAUUUACACCGAAAAAAAAAACUCUUCAGGCAGCAUUUUCGUGGCCACGUGAAAAUUACAAAAUUCAGCUUCGUCGGCAAAAAAACAAGCUUAAAUACAGAAAAAAUAUAGACAAUUUUCAGAUGUCAGCUGACUAAUCGAAUAUUGAGGAAGAUUACACACAAUUUACACCGAGAAAAGAACUUUUCGCAUAGUUCAAGUAGAUUUUCCGUGGCCACUUUAAAGUUACGAGCUUAAUCGUUUUAAGCAUCUUUGACAAGCACAAACUUAAACACAGAAAAAAAGAUUGACAAUUUUCAGAUGUCAGCUGACAUUGAAUACAAAUGAAGACUUGUUCUAAUUCUACAACGAAAAACACACUUUUGCUACCUUUUACACCGCGAAAAGAACUUUUCACAUAGUUCAGGCAGCUUUUUCCGUGGCCACUUUAAAAUUGCGAAAUUAACCGUUUUCAAGCAUCUCGGCCCCAAGAAACUAACUUAAGUACAGAAAAAACACGAUGUUUGCCGCUUGCUCAGCAAAUACGCUUGACACUGAGAUUACCAAUUCAAGAACACGAGGAGAGCACUAGGCAAAAGUCACGGCUGCUUAUCAACACUUGUUCAAAUAAAUGUUCGAAAAAUUAAAAACAGAAACAAAACAGAGCAGAA